rnacentral:rRNA from 1 species
UACGUAGGCAGCAAGCGUUGUUCGGAGUUACUGGGCGUAAAGGGUGCGUAGGCGGUUCUGUAAGUAUGGUGUGAAAUCUCCCGGCUUAACUGGGAGGGUGCGCUAUAAACUGCGGGGCUAGAGUGUGGGAGAGGAAAGUGGAAUUCCUGGUGUAGCGGUGAAAUGCGUAGAUAUCUGGAGGAACACCGGUGGCGAAGGCGGCAUCCUGGACCAAUUCUGACGCUGAGGAGCGAAAGCCAGGGGAGCAAACGGGG